rnacentral:rRNA from 1 species
GACGAACGCUGGCGGCGUGCUUAACACAUGCAAGUCGAACGAUGAACCCGGAGCUUGCUCCGGUGGAUUAGUGGCGAACGGGUGAGUAACACGUGAGUAACCUGCCCUUGACUCUGGGAUAACUGCGGGAAACUGUAGCUAAUACCGGAUACGACCCUCGGCGGCAUCGCCAGGGGGUGGAAAGAAUUUCGGUCAAGGAUGGACUCGCGGCCUAUCAGCUAGUUGGUGAGGUAACGGCUCACAAAGGCGACGACGGGUAGCCGGCCUGAGGGGGUGACGGGCCACACUGGGACUGAGACACGGCACAGACUCCUAGGGGGGGCAGCAGGGGGGAAUAUGGCACAAUGGGCGCAAGCCUGAUGCAGCAACGCCGCGGGAGGGAUGACGGCCUUGGGGUUGUAACCCUCUUUUAGUAGGGAAGAAGCGAAAGUGACGGUACCUGCAGAAAAAGCACCGGCUAACUACGUGCCAGCCGCCGAAGUAA